GUGUGACUGCGUACCUUUUGUAUAAUGGGUCAGCGACUUAUAUUCUGUAGCAAGGUUAACCGAAUAGGGGAGCCGAAGGGAAACCGAGUCUUAACUGGGCGUUAAGUUGCAGGGUAUAGACCCGAAACCCGGUGAUCUAGCCAUGGGCAGGUUGAAGGUUGGGUAACACUAACUGGAGGACCGAACCGACUAAUGUUGAAAAAUUAGCGGAUGACUUGUGGCUGGGGGUGAAAGGCCAAUCAAACCGGGAGAUAGCUGGUUCUCCCCGAAAGCUAUUUAGGUAGCGCCUCGUGAAUUCAUCUCCGGGGGUAGAGCACUGUUUCGGCAAGGGGGUCAUCCCGACUUACCAACCCGAUGCAAACUGCGAAUACCGGAGAAUGUUAUCACGGGAGACACACGGCGGGUGCUAACGUCCGUCGUGAAGAGGGAAACAACCCAGACCGCCAGCUAAGGUCCCAAAGUCAUGGUUAAGUGGGAAACGAUGUGGGAAGGCCCAGACAGCCAGGAUGUUGGCUUAGAAGCAGCCAUCAUUUAAAGAAAGCGUAAUAGCUCACUGGUCGAGUCGGCCUGCGCGGAAGAUGUAACGGGGCUAAACCAUGCACCGAAGCUGCGGCAGCGACACUAUGUGUUGUUGGGUAGGGGAGCGUUCUGUAAGCCUGUGAAGGUGUACUGUGAGGUAUGCUGGAGGUAUCAGAAGUGCGAAUGCUGACAUAAGUAACGAUAAAGCGGGUGAAAAGCCCGCUCGCCGGAAGACCAAGGGUUCCUGUCCAACGUUAAUCGGGGCAGGGUGAGUCGACCCCUAAGGCGAGGCCGAAAGGCGUAGUCGAUGGGAAACAGGUUAAUAUUCCUGUACUUGGUGUUACUGCGAAGGGGGGACGGAGAAGGCUAUGUUGGCCGGGCGACGGUUGUCCCGGUUUAAGCGUGUAGGCUGGUUUUCCAGGCAAAUCCGGAAAAUCAAGGCUGAGGCGUGAUGACGAGGCACUACGGUGCUGAAGCAACAAAUGCCCUGCUUCCAGGAAAAGCCUCUAAGCAUCAGGUAACAUCAAAUCGUACCCCAAACCGACACAGGUGGUCAGGUAGAGAAUACCAAGGCGCUUGAGAGAACUCGGGUGAAGGAACUAGGCAAAAUGGUGCCGUAACUUCGGGAGAAGGCACGCUGAUACGUAGGUGAAGUCCCUCGCGGAUGGAGCUGAAAUCAGUCGAAGAUACCAGCUGGCUGCAACUGUUUAUUAAAAACACAGCACUGUGCAAACACGAAAGUGGACGUAUACGGUGUGACGCCUGCCCGGUGCCGGAAGGUUAAUUGAUGGGGUCAGCGCAAGCGAAGCUCUUGAUCGAAGCCCCGGUAAACGGCGGCCGUAACUAUAACGGUCCUAAGGUAGCGAAAUUCCUUGUCGGGUAAGUUCCGACCUGCACGAAUGGCGUAAUGAUGGCCAGGCUGUCUCCACCCGAGACUCAGUGAAAUUGAACUCGCUGUGAAGAUGCAGUGUACCCGCGGCAAGACGGAAAGACCCCGUGAACCUUUACUAUAGCUUGACACUGAACAUUGAGCCUUGAUGUGUAGGAUAGGUGGGAGGCUUUGAAGUGUGGACGCCAGUCUGCAUGGAGCCG
rnacentral:rRNA from 1 species